AGGGGAAGUCUCACUUAGGGGAAGUCUCACUUAUUAGGGAAGUCUCGUUUUGUGUGUUUUUACAAAGAGGAUUUUCACUUUAAUCAGAUGUUCAGUUUUAUUUUGGUGGUUCUACAUAAACGGGUUUCUCCACGUAAGCUGAUCCGAGAGUGUUGCCUGUUGUGUGCGUUCUGCCUGCAAUAAAACUUCCUUCAACUAUUCCGUGUCCGUCGUACUGCUCCUGGGUCCUGAACACACCCGUUACAGUACGAUCUGGUCUUAGCGUUGACACGGCAUAUGACACCUCAUCACAGGCCCGGUUUGUGUCCAUUGAAGAGGAGAUCCAGCGAUAUCGCCGAGGUUCAAGGACAGGGACCAGAUCUUGACCGCCUUGAUGAACCAGGUACAGCAACUCCCGGUAGCCAUAACCGCGUCUCGAACCAUCGCAUUCAACGUCAGCCUCAGAGCCCCGGGUGGGGGAGCCGGAACGUUACCUUCCGGUCCUUCUCCGACAACCUGCGCAAGGUCUUCAGGGCGGUGUCCGUUGGACCGGACCUACUGGGGCUCCAGCAGGGCCACCAACCUGUCACGGACUGUGCCAUUGAAUUCCAGACCAAAGGCCCAAUGAAGUUUGUGGAACAUGGUGUGACGUAUAAUUGCUCGGGCCUAGCAGAUUACGCCGAAGACGAAAAAGUCUCGUUGAAGUUACCCACAUCCCUAGAUGGGCAUUAGUCUGUUAUAUUGAAAAGUGUUCACGUGUCAGAACAUAAUAAAGGAAGUUGCAGUAGAGUUGGUCAGAAAAAACCCGCGUAUAACUAUUCUCAGUCGAAGCCUCAAAGCACUAAACACCAUCAGAGCGGACCAGACGCCCUCCCAACAGCUCUCAUUCAGAACUGCAGCGGGAUUUAAAAAACAUUUCUUCAGGAUGAACCGAAAACCACCGGAUGAAAUAGAGGAAAUCCAAGAGGAAGCUGACUACGUUAAUGAACCAGUACGUCCUGUGUAUAAAGUGGCAGCCCCUCCAGACCAGAGGUUCCUCUUCUUCUCUCAGACUCUUCCACCGAUAGCCGUGUGUUGGCUGAUACUGGUGCUCAUCCUGGGCCUUCGUAUCCACUGACAGAAGUCACUCUUUGUGAUGCGUAGAGGACAUUUGGUACUAAGAAGACAGACCGGAGACAUGUGAACCCACAAUGUAAAGUACAUUAUAAUCAUGUAAAACACGUUUCUUUGUGUUUUUGUACGUUCCUCCGUCCGUCGCCGUAGUUACUUCUGUCAUUUCAGAACACGCCACACAAGCUGAAGAAAUGUACUGGAGAGAACGAAACCGGGAUCUGGAGAACCAGAAGAACACCUUGACAAUGGAACGCAACAAUCUGACGGUCGAGUUGAGCAACCUGACAACACGGAACCAGGAUCUGGAGAACCGGAAGAACACCUUGACAAUGGAACGCAACAAUCUGAAGGUCGAGUUGAGCAACCUGACAACACGGAACCAGGAUCUGGAGAACCGGAAGAACACCUUGACAAUGGAACGCAACAAUCUGAAGGUCGAGUUGAGCAACCUGACAACACGGAACCAGGAUCUGGAGAACCGGAAGAACACCUUGACAAUGGAACGCAACAAUCUGAAGGUCGAGUUGAGCAACCUGACAACACGGAACCAGGAUCUGGAGAACCAGAAGAACACCUUGACACAACAAAUACAAGACAAGUCAUGGAACGUAAUGUGUCUUUGCUAACAGGCCAUGUACCACAUUCCUUCAAAGUAGCUGUAAUUAAACCUCUCCUGAAG